rfam:Botryotinia fuckeliana BcDW1 unplaced genomic scaffold Scaffold_448, whole genome shotgun sequence.
GCCCGUUUGGCUUAGCGGUAAAGCGCAUCACUAGUACCUGUACAUGAUGAGAUCCUAGGUUCGAUUCCUAGAACGGGCA